UACGUAGGGUGCAAGCGUUAAUCGGAAUUACUGGGCGUAAAGCGUGCGCAGGCGGCUUUGCAAGACAGAUGUGAAAUCCCCGGGCUCAACCUGGGAACUGCCUUUGUGACUGCAAGGCUAGAGUACGGCAGAGGGAGAUGGAAUUCCGCGUGUAGCAGUGAAAUGCGUAGAUAUGCGGAGGAACACCGAUGGCGAAGGCAAUCUCCUGGGCCUGUACUGACGCUCAUGCACGAAAGCGUGGGGAGCAAACAGG
rnacentral:rRNA from 1 species